GCGCUGUUAGCUCAACUGGAUAGAGCGUCUGACUUCGGAUCAGGAGGCUAUGGGUUCAAUUCCUAUACAGCGCGCCA
rnacentral:tRNA from 1 species